AUUGAACGCUGGCGGCAGGCUUAACACAUGCAAGUCGAGCGAGCGGCGGACGGGUGAGUAAUGUCUGGGAAACUGCCUGAUGGAGGGGGAUAACUACUGGAAACGGUAGCUAAUACCGCAUACCAUCAGAUGUGCCCAGAUGGGAUUAGCUAGUAGGUGGGGUAAUGGCACACCUAGGCGACGAUCCGUAACUGGUCUGAGAGGAUGAUCAGGCACACUGGAACUGAGACACGGUCCAGACUCCUACGGGAGGCAGCAGUGGGGAAUAUUGGACAAUGGGCGAAAGCCUGAUCCGAACAUGCCGCGUGUGUGAAGGAGGUCUUCGGAUUGGAAAGCACUUUAAGUUGGGAAGAGGUACCAACAGAAUAAGCACCGGCUAACUUCGUGCCAGCAGCCGCGGUAAUAC
rnacentral:rRNA from 1 species